UUGGGGAGUUGCAGCGAUGAGAACGAAAAAGGCAUUAAAAUGAAAAAAAUGUUUGUUUGUCUGAUAUAUGAAACAACUUCCUCAUAGCUAUUCAAAUAGGUUCAAGAAGAGGCUGCCUGACUUUUUGGCUCAAAUCACUUGUGCCACAAAUGAUUUCUUUGAAAACCUGAGCAUUGUUCAAAAGGCAACUCCCUUCCACAAAGAAAAGAGGCGACCACUUCCUCGUGCCUCACAAAGAUUGUCAGACGGACUCGCUGAACUGAAUCUUGUCACACCUGAGCACAGUCUGUGUUCUGUCAUCUGAAACAACAUAAUGCUGUUCCUAUUAUUUUGUGGCGGAUGUUUUGCGUUGUCUGCAGGGCAAACCUUUGCUCCAACACCUUCAAUGGGACAAGUGAACAGCACAACACAGGUAACAACACCUCCAGCUCCCACUACUCCAUAUGUGGACCCACCUUUUGGUACUGACACAGCUACUAGUGGAUUUGCAAUUCUUCGAACAGCUGUCACUUCUUAUCAGGAGCUAAAUAAGACUACAGUUGAUCCAGUCUUGAGUCAGAUCUAUGACGUCAUUGGUGCGCAGCAACCUAAUCUGGAAUUUCAGCUGACUGUGAAAACUGUCCAGAAGGUUUGAUGGAUUAUGAUUCAAUGCAUAACAGCGUUCCCAGUUGUCUUGAAAGCACCAUAAAUCCAGAGAAUGACAAAGUUUGAUGACAAAGUUUGCCCACAAGAAGGACUGCCAUGCCACCUGAUGUUGUGUAGUAAGCUGUUAGUAUCCCAUGUGUGUCACCCUAAGUCACACUCUUUCCCUCUCAGAAUUUAGCCUCAUGUUCUGACUUGGUGGACUGAUUAGCCUGUUUUAGAGAAAUGUCAUCAUCGAAUAUUAUAAGAGCUUUCAUUGUCUCCUUAUAUGCCCCCGUUAUUUAUCCUACAGUUCUGACUUGGCUAUACAGGGAAAAUACUGUAAGAAUGCCUGAUGUUCUGAAUGCUGUCGCUGACCAUUUCAAAAGUGUUGAACAAAUAGGCAUAUCAACUACAUCCGUCUUGGCUUGCUCAUCAUUAAUGUCUUAAUCGAAAUUACGGCUUGCCUCUUAUCCGCUCAUCGUUCCCUUAUGCCAUAGUUUGUACAUCUCAAUUGUUAUAUAGGUCUAUCUCAUUAGUAUCUAAUAAUUUUAAGAAAUGUUGGAAUUAUGCAUUUCAUUGUUUUGCUUACUUUGUGUAUUAUAAUUAGUUAAUGUGCUUUUCUUCCGCUAGGAGGGGAUACUAUAUAAUGUUGUUAGGUCUGUAACCAUGUUUGCCAGUGAUAGUCUCCUCCCAUUCAAAUAUUUUUUUUCAACAAAAAGUUAAGUAAUGGACAAAUGUGAUUUCAGAUAAUAUUUGGAGGGUUGUUUUGUUUGCGCAAUGCGCUGUCUGUGCGUCUGUAUAUUGUCUAUAAAAGUGGAUCCGUGUGAUUGUGUUUUCCUUCCUUUUUAGACCACAAUAGGCCUAAUAAAAUACUUCAAGAAGCUAA